AUUGAACGCUGGCGGCAGGCCUAACACAUGCAAGUCGAACGAGUGGCGGACGGGUGAGUAAUGUCUGGGAAACGGCCCGAUGGAGGGGGUAACUAUUGGAAACGGUAGCUAAUACCGCAUACCAUCGGAUGUGCCCAGAUUGGAUUAGCUAGUAGGUGGGGUAACGGCUCACCUAGGCGACGAUGCCUAGCUGGUCUGAGAGGAUGACCGGCCACACUGGAACUGAGACACGGUCCAGACGCCUACGGGAGGCAGCAGUGGGGAAUAUUGCACAAUGGGCGCAAGCCUGAUGCAGCCAUGCCGCGUGUAUGAAGAAGGCCUUCGGGUUGUAAAGUACUUUCAGCGGGGAGGCGUUACUCACAGAAGAAGCACCGGCUAACUCCGUGCCAGCAGCCGCGGUAAUAC
rnacentral:rRNA from 1 species